GACGAACGCUGGCGGCGUGCCUAAUACAUGCAAGUCGAACGCUUCUUUCCUCCCUAGUGCUUGCACUCAAUUGGAAAGAGGAGUGGCGGACGGGUGAGUAACACGUGGGUAACCUACCCAUCAGAGGGGGAUAACACUUGGAAACAGGUGCUAAUACCGCAUAACAGUUUAUGCCGCAUGGCAUAAGAGUGAAAGGCGCUUUCGGGUGUCGCUGAUGGAUGGACCCGCGGUGCAUUAGCUAGUUGGUGAGGUAACGGCUCACCAAGGCCACGAUGCAUAGCCGACCUGAGAGGGUGAUCGGCCACACUGGGACUGAGACACGGCCCAGACUCCUACGGGAGGCAGCAGUAGGGAAUCUUCGGCAAUGGACGAAAGUCUGACCGAGCAGCGCCGCGUGAGUGAAGAAGGUUUUCGGAUCGUAAAACUCUGUUGUUAGAGAAGAACAAGGACGUUAGUAACUGAACGUCCCCUGACGGUAUCUAACCAGAAAGCCACGGCUAACUACGUG
rnacentral:rRNA from 1 species